rnacentral:lncRNA from 1 species
CCUUCACAAAUUUUUACACAACACAUUAUAUACUAGUCACAAAGUAUCUAUUUCAUUGGUCACAUAUUAUUUAUUGAUUACAUAUUAACCAAUUUAAUGGUUACAAUCUACCAAAUAAUUUAUAACCACCACACUGUUUGUGACCACUACCUCGCCACUGCCUACAACAGCACUGCUGCCAAUACCACCUUCACUUGAACCACAGCUGGCAGGACCACCAUUUUCACCAUCGCUGUGACAACGACGACGACAACAACCACUGCAUAAUUAAUCCAAAAUGGAAGCAACAACCACUGCCACGACUACAACAACUACCAUUAUCAUCAUCACUAUCACCACUACCUCUCCCAUCACCACCAUCUCACCACAGCCAACAUCACAACCACCUGAACACCACCAACAAAUCAAAUAAAAAAUCUCUAGCACCCCACAACCGCCAUCACCACAACGACCUCGUUAUCACUACAAUGCCAACACUAGAAUCAGAUCACCAAUCGAUGAGGAUAAAAACCAACAAAUCAGAUCCAAACCACCAACACCAGAAUACUACUCGAAGAGGAUGAAAGUCGCAAGGGAAUCGAGUGUGUAGGGUUGAAUGUUAUCAAGUAUCUUCGAGGUGAAGGCCACUCGGAGAGGAACCAUCAUCAAGCGGUAGAGUGAUGGGAUGAAGAGAGAUGUCGCUGCGAAUCGAGUGCAGCACACGCGCGUAGCUACAGCAGCUUUGCUGCUAACAACUCUGACGGCCUGGUAGGAUUAAGAGAGACUUUGCUGCGGAUUCUGUGGGGCUCAAGGGACCUAGUCACAGUGGCAUCUCUGCUCAUGACUCGCUAUAUUCGGGGCAUAAUCGCUCGUCAUCAUCGAUGUAGUGGUCUGACGAUACUUUUCGUUGACAAAGGAGAGAAGUAGGGAUGGAGAGAGAGAGACAGAGAGAGGAACACAGAAAGAUGAUUAGGGACAUGAAAG